ACAGUGCCUGACCUCAAGCGGAAAGCUCUGGACCAGAUCAUGGUGACAGUAUAGCCAGCCAACCUAAGGAGAUGCUGGAAUGCUGGGAUGACCCCCACUUCUUUCCUCCCGGGGCUGCUGGCACCUCUUACUCUCUGAGUCAGGUCUUCUGAAACCAGUGUACAGGGAAGGCCACUUUCCUUGUAGUGAUUUUUUUCAUACUUUCUAGAACUUUCAGUCCAGUAAGUUAUUUUUAAUGGACUGUUUUAGUGAAUAUAUGGGGCAAGAGGCCAAAAAGCAGGCAUAACUUAAUUUCUCUACAAAAUUAUAAAUGAUUUUUUAUUUACAUAUAAAAGUCAUAAAGAAGUCACAUUAGAAGAUUUGCUAUAGUUCCUAAAGCUACCUAUGUAAUACUUUUUAAUUUAAAUAUUGACUAAUCAAGUGGUCCUUCUGCUCUCUGCUUUCUGGUGGCAUUGAGUCUAAGAAUUUACUACUGAGAUCUAUUCUGUCACUAAGCCUCAUAGGGAUUCUGCCAAUCUUGAAUGAGUGACCUUUAACAUAAGCAAAAUAUGACACUCACAGAACCAGAGAGGCAUGUCUAACCUGCCAUGGAUGUAGCUGGCAAUUAUCUGAACAUGAGUUGCAUGGAGUGUGCCGGAGCUGGCUUGUGCUAGCACAUGGAAGAUGGUGGUUAAAUAUUCUGAAAUUAUACAACAAAUUAUUAAACCAUUUGUACUUUGAAAUUGUUUGUGAUGAAGGUGUUUACACUGAAGGAGUCAGGCACCACCAUAAGGCAGUCUCAGUCCCACAGAGAUACUGUUUACCACACACAGCAACAGCAAAGCUAUUUGGGACUGCCAUGGCUGCAUGUGUCCCAUCCCCAUCCCCACCCAUCCCCACCCAUCCCCACCGAUGUGUUCCCAAGGACAUGAUGUGCAUACCUUUGUUGUUGUGGUGGUGGUGGUGAUGGUGGUGGUGCUGGUGGUGGUUAUGGUUGUUGUUUGGGCUGUUCUCCAUGCAAUUCAUCUACCCACCUCUUCAGAUCACUACCAUGACCUCCUCCUCUUCCUCCUCACCUUCUUCCUCCUCCUCCUCACCUUCCUCCUCCUUCUUAUCCUUUUCUCCCUGCUCUCUCUUCUCAUCUUUGCACCUCAUCUGGACCAUUAAUAAGAGAAAGCUGGCGCCACCUCAUGUCUGGGAGAAGAAAGGCAUUUCUUUGCUCUGAAAUAGAAUGAGAAUUUACGGGAAGCAGCACCGUCAGCCUCGAGGUCCUUUGACAUAUUUAUAAGUUCUCAAAAUCUACAGAUAUCUUCAGUUUUCUCUGAGUUUGCUUUCCUUCCCUCCACCUGUGAUAAGUAUGGUCCCUGGGGCUUUACUGAAACGGGGUUUCUUUUAAUGCUAUUGUGGCUUUGGUAGGGAAUGGGAACCUAUUGCUGUACUUUUUAUUGUUAUAGUGGGCAAAGUUUCUCUGGGUUCCAGAUAUCAGAAUAAUAAACAUACUUUCUUGUCACAGAAUAAAUAAAUACUCUCUCUCUCUCUCUCUCUCUCUCUCUCUCUCUCUCUGUCUCUGUCUCUCUGUCUCUGUCUCUCUCUCUCUCUCUCUCUCUCUCUCUCACACACACACAGCCUUACUGCCUUUUUCUAAGGUCUGGAAACGGAGCUCAUAAAGUUCUUUGAUGUGUUGUCAUCUGUUCUAUUGAGUAAAACUGAGGCACACAAGAGGCAUCGUCUUCUUCAUAGGGUCCCCACUAGCCUCCAAGCAGGGGAGCAGUGGAUGAGAUGGAGAGGCAAGAGGGUUCCCAGUGUGACUGUUCAAGUAUACAGCCACUAGAGAGGAUAAGGAUCAUCAGGGAUUUCAUAUGAAUGGAGCAAACAGCAUCACAGAGCUAGCUCAUCAUCUUCCUGCCAUUGUCCCUAAAGAUACAUGACCCUGGUUUUUCAUUCAUGUUGAAAAAACAAAGCACACAUGUAUAGCUCUGGGAAGGUUUGUAGCAGAUAUCUUUGGGGAAUUUGGGACAUAGUGACAGUUGUGAUUGUGGUGAUGUAGUAGGUAGUGUGAUGAUGUGAUGGUGAUGCUAGUGCUGGUGACAAUGAUGAAUAGUGGUGGUGGUGGUGGUGGUGGUAGUGGUUACUAACUAGGAAGCUCUGUGGGUUUGGUGUUGAUAAACAGUCCAUGUGUGACUCAUGACAAAGUACAUAGGGACAAAGUACCACAUAUACAAUUUACUGGAAAAACACAGGAACUCAUAGUACUUAUACUUGUGGGAGAGAGCAAAGGCCCACUAGUGUCCUCCGAUGAUAGGUAGAACAUACAUUGUUUUGGUUGAAAUAUUUAUAACCAGAAGAAAUAACAACUAUCAAUAUUUUGCCUGAAUAGGAUAAGAAAUAUAAUGACAAUUUUCCAGCUAACUACAGAGUAUCCCCUUCUGAUUUGAGUGAAAUAGAAUGAUGAAAUAUAAUACUGGCAGUCUACACAGAAGUUCACAUGGGUAGAGGUUAGAACAAAGGUUGCAGCAGCUCCAUCUCCAUAAUGUCUCCACCUCCUCCACUGAGACAAGGCAGAGUGGAGAGUGCAGCCAACACCCUUCUGGGUGGCUUCAGCUAAUGUGGAGAACGUGCUGGGGGAGAUUUGUGAGGGGACAGUGUCCAAGCAGCAGCAGUGCAGCCAAGUUAGACAGAGCAGUGCAGAUGGAAUGCAAAAUGCUAUAAUCCUAUUUUGGGGAGUUUCUAAAGCGUCGCACAAAGGACACUGGCAUGUGUUAUGACCCAAGAACCACAGCUGGGGGUUAAAUGUGACAGCGUCAGAGUAUCUUUAAGGCAAGAUGGAUACAUUUGGGGCAUGGGUUCCAAAAUGGCAACCUUCUGAUGCCCACAGAAUGGAAGCCCCUCAUCCAUGUCAUAAUUACCCCAAAUAAAGCUUAGAAUUCCUCAUCUCUGCAGAAUGAACCUCGACCCUGCGCACCCUCCUCAGCUGAUAGGAGACAUCAGCCAUGCUGUGCUCAUGAGCUGCAAACUUGCAGCUCUGAAUCCCAUGGGGUAUGAAGUCUAUUCCCCUUGUCAAGUGAGUAACUUACCAAGUCCUGGGUCAUGUAGAAACAAACACAGAGCUGAUGAAAACUACCUGUGUUAUUGAUACUUUCAGACUAACUUUAGGAGGCAUCUUGUUGUGUUAUGUUUUCCUUGUUUAAGUGAACUUAGUGUUUAAAGUUUGCAGGAUCUGGAGGUAAAAUGCAAAAUUGGUGUUUCGGUUGUGAUUUUGACAGAGAUGUAUAAGAAAACCUGAAAUAGCUCAUUAACAAUAUCAGAACAGACUCAGUAUAACUUUACCAGAAUUAGCAGAGAUGUUUAGAUAGAUAUGGAUGCCAAGGCAUGGUGGUACACACCUGUAAUCCCAGCUACUCAAGAGGCUGAUACCAGAGAACCCUCAGGAUUGAGGCCAAUCUAGGCAACAGUGAGGCUCACCAUCUAAAAAAUAAAUUUAAAAAGUACACAAGAAUGCC
rnacentral:lncRNA from 1 species